UACGUAGGGUGCAAGCGUUGUCCGGAAUUAUUGGGCGUAAAGAGCUCGUAGGCGGUCUGUCGCGUCUGCUGUGAAAACUCGGGGCUUAACCCCGGGCCUGCAGUGGGUACGGGCAGACUAGAGUGCGGUAGGGGAGACUGGAAUUCCUGGUGUAGCGGUGAAAUGCGCAGAUAUCAGGAGGAACACCGGUGGCGAAGGCGGGUCUCUGGGCCGUAACUGACGCUGAGGAGCGAAAGCGUGGGGAGCGAUCCGG
rnacentral:rRNA from 1 species